UGGGGAAUUUUGGACAAUGGGCGAAAGCCUGAUCCAGCAAUGCCGCGUGUGUGAAGAAGGCCUUCGGGUUGUAAAGCACUUUUGUCCGGAAAGAAAUCCUUGGCUCUAAUACAGUCGGGGGAUGACGGUACCGGAAGAAUAAGCACCGGCUAACUACGUGCCAGCAGCCGCGGUAAUACGUAGGGUGCAAGCGUUAAUCGGAAUUACUGGGCGUAAAGCGUGCGCAGGCGGUUUGCUAAGACCGGAUGUGAAAUCCCCGGGCUCAACCUGGGAACUGCAUUGGUGACUGGCAGGCUAGAGUAUGGCAGAGGGGGGUAGAAUUCCACGUGUAGCAGUGAAAUGCGUAGAGAUGUGGAGGAAUACCGAUGGCGAAGGCAGCCCCCUGGGCCAAUACUGACGCUCAUGCACGAAAGCGUGGGGAGCAAACAGGAUUAGAUACCCUGGUAGUCCACGCCCUAAACGAUGUCAACUAGUUGUUGGGGAUUCAUUUCCUAGUAACGUAGCUAACGCGUGAAGUUGACCGCCUGGGGAGUACGGUCGCAAGAUU
rnacentral:rRNA from 1 species